CCUACGGGGGGCUGCAGUCGAGAAUCUUCCGCAAUGGGCGAAAGCCUGACGGAGCGACGUCGCGUGAUGGAUGAAGUUCUUAGGAACGUAAACAUCUUUUAUGAGGGAGAAAAUUUUGAUAGUACCUCAUGAAUAAGGGGUUGCUAAACUCGUGCCAGCAGCAGCGGUAAUACGAGUGCCCCAAGCGUUAUCCGGAAUUACUGGGCGUAAAGCGUGCGUAGACGGUCGUGUUAGUCGUUCGUUAAAGCUCCCGGCUUAACCGGGAAAAUGCGAACGAAACGGCACGACUCGAGGAGGUGAAGGGUUCGUGGAACUCAUGGUGUAGGGGUGAAAUCCGUUGAUAUCAUGGGGAACACCAAAAGCGAAGGCAGCGAACUGGCACCUUACUGACGUUGGAGCACGAAAGCGUGGGGAGCAAACGGGCUUAGAUACCCUAGUAGUC
rnacentral:rRNA from 1 species